rnacentral:tRNA from 1 species
AAGGGAGACCUAAUUCAGGUAUGGGACGAAAAAAAAGUAGUCGCUACCAAGAAUCAAUCCCAAAAGGUCGGAGCGAGGUAUGAGGCUUUCAAACUAGGUUCUGGGUUCAAACAAGACCUGAAUCAGGAACAAGGGCUAUUAGCUCAGGUGGUUAGAGCGCACCCCUGAUAAGGGUGAGGUCCCUGGUUCGAGUCCAGGAUGGCCCACCUGCACAGGUGGCAAAAACAAGAGAAGCGAGGAAUCAGCACCUUAUCUUAUCUAUAUAUAUAUAGGAGAGAAUGCUGGCUCUGAGUAAAGAGUCCAGAGGAACCUCGAAAACUGCAUAGAGCUAGGUGAAAAAGCCAAAAAAGAAGACCGCAA